UGUGAGUGUGUUGUGUUUGAUUGUCGGCUCCACUCUCCUGUGGCACGUCUCCACUCGACUCAAGAUACGGCCUGCGUCAGUGAGCAGUGAGGCUGAUCAAACCGACGGAGAUUUGGAGAGGCCACGUCAGGUGAUAUCGCCAGAUGCAUCGGCUUAUUCUAAGUCAGACAGGGUUCACACACCCGUCAAACAUGGCUCCUUCUCUGAAGAGUCGUCAACAUUCAAUUGAGGGAUCAUUUGGAAAGCUGGAGCUUUGUUUCUUGUUGCAGAGAGCCACACCAGCAAGUCAGACCUUUCACUCAUCCUGUGAAAUAUCUCAUGAUGUACUUAGGAGAUUAGCACAAAACCUGGUACAAAUAUUCACAAUUCCCUGGAAAUAAAUCCUAAUGACUUUGGUGGUCCCCUGACUUUUCUUCUAGUGCCAACAUUGGGGUUGACAUUUGAGUGAAAUGUCAACUAUUGAAUGGAUUGCCAAGAAAUUUGGUUCAACAUGGUAAACUAAGAUCAUAAACAUGGUCUCUUUAAACAUCAGCAUGUCUGUACUGUCAGUGAGAACAUUUUAACAUGCUGCUAGCAUUUAGCUCAUAGUUCAACUUUAUGAGCUGCAAACACAGU